UCUCCGUAGGUGAACCUGCGGAGGGAUCAUUCACAUGAAUCCUUGAAUCAACCAAUCUGUGAACUUGUUUGGUGACUCGAGUCUUGUGUGUGAUAUAUAUAUAUAUAUAUACAUUGACUUGUUCAAUUAUAUUAUUAUUCACACACAAGUUUCGUCAUCAAUCCUUGCUUUUUUAUUGUUGCUUCUCGAAAGGGAGGGAUCAGUAGGAAUAUGCUUGGAACCCCACACACCACCUUCACACUGGUUUGUGUGUGUGUUUCAAAACACACACAAAGACACAAGUGUCGAACAUUCGAUGAUCAACUAGAUAGCUGGAGGUAAAAGGUCUAAGCUGACCUGUCGAUCCGUCAAACGAUCGAUUGGGUCAUUCAAAACAUAGAAGCAACUCUAUGCCCUGGAUAUCUUGGUUCUG
rnacentral:misc_RNA from 1 species